UCAGAAUGAUUGUAGUUAUAUCUUAGAGAGAGACUUAGAAGAGAUACUGUAUACCAUUGGUGUUCAUCUAUCAAGGGCUCAGGUUCGAAAGCCGUUCAGAAGAUAGUCACCAGAGACUGUUGGAGUUACAGAAAGCUUACAGAUGGACCUGAGAAGAAAAAAGAUGACACAAUAGAUAUUAAACAUGAACCUCCUGAUCUAGAUCUUUCUAAGGGUAAUCAAGUGAUCCUUGAUAGUAUGACAUCCAAUAAAGAAAGGAUCAAAGACCAUGGCCCCUGAUGGAGUUACCAAUGCAGAACAGUAAUUGACAUUAAUACUAAUCCAUUGGAACAAGUACAGAAGGCUGAUCAAGAGUGAUCUAUGGCAGAGAAGAAGAUUGAAUCUUUGGCGAAACAGAUAGCGGUGAGCUCCUGGAUGCUCUCAUUGGCUCAUCCACCUGCUCCAAGAAGCUCAUGGACAUCAUUGGGACCGCUCAGAAAAACCUGGAUGAAAUCAUGCUUAAGUUUAACAGGUCCCGGAGGAAGCCCUGCUGCCCCCUACAGUCAAGAUUCUUGAGGUUAUUGAGAAAGGCAAGGAAGAUAUCAAGGUCAAGACAGAGAGCAAACCUGUUGUUAAAUAAAAAAUCAAAAAUCCCAAGAGUAAAGAAGUAGAGAUUGCAUGGGGUAGUUCAAUACUGCAAGCACUAAGAAAAGGUAAAAUAAACUAAUGCUUUUUAACCUUUAUUCAUAUAAUAUCACGUUUUUCAUACAUGCAAAAGACCCUAGAAAUUAUUAUCUUGCAUAAUCAAUCAUAGAGGUUGAAAUUACAUCACAAAAUAUGUGGGAAAAUGCAUUCAAUGAUGAUUGUAGUACAAAAGAAACUAUAAAUACUGUUGAUAAAACCCCACAAUACCAUUCAUUUUGAAAAGGAAAAUAAUUUAAUCGAUAAAGAUUUUACUAGGUUAGGCCAUCCAUAACUGGACUCAUAUUUGUCGUUUUCAGACCCCUAUUAACAUUUUCAUCAAUACUAUCUCUAAUUUAUACAUAGAACUUGUCAAAUCGUAUGUUUCGGUAUCAAAGAUUCAAAAAGUUUAUGUUAAACUAUACAGUGCGUAUAAAAAAACGGGACAGUUUUGAAAAGUCUGUAAAAAAUAUGUUUCAAAUUAUUAUAUCGAUAUUUUGAUGUAAAUAGGUGUUCUAAGAUCUUAUCUUUGAAAUGCCAUUAAAAAAAUAAAUUUUGUUCAAGCUUGAGCGAACACGGGCCUUUUUUGUCAGGGGUUCAAAAAAAGGUUUGCGCCAAAAUGGCAGAAAUAGGAAAUUUGAUGAUUAGACUUUUGGCUAAUCAGCAGACUUCCUCUUUAUCUUUUCAUUAUCUUUGUCAUAAUUUUUUAAUUAUGCUGUCAAAUUUCAUUUACAAAUUUAUUUAUUUACCCUGAAUUAUAUUGUUUUUCAUUUAAACUUCUUUUACCUUUGAAUUUUUCUUCAUAAGUUAGAAAAGAAGAGACUUUUUGUCAACCCAAGUAAGCAGAUUUGCAUUAUUAAUUGGGAGAAUUUAUAAUUAUUCAAAUCCUUUUUAUUAUGUAAAACAAAUAAUGUUAUGGUACCUUUAGUAAUUAUUAUGUGAAACAAAUUAUGCUAUGGUACCUAUAAAGACAUGAAUUCUAUUUUCAAAGGGUUAUUGAAUCCUUCACCAAGUUUAAUUAUGUUCUUGACAUGACAAACAGGAGGGGAUUCAUGUCUUUCAAUGGCAAUGGUGCAUUGAGUCAAUUUUGAAGGAGCAAGAUAUGGCAGAUCGGGUAAAAUGUAUUAAAAAGUUGUGAAGCGGGCAAGAACAUUUUUUUAUUAAAAUAUCAAAUUUUGUGAUUUUGACAUAAUAUUCAGAAAAUGAUAUCAUAUUUCUUUUUCUAUGUUUUCUGUUAUUUUCCUUUACACUUUUUUUUCCUUGGUCAUAAUUUUUUUAUUUGGGGAGGGGGGGGGGAGCACCCCGAGCCCCCACCCAUCAGUAUGCCACUGUUCAAAGGCACCAUAACCUUUGUAGCACACAAUGAAAGGAUUUGAAAAAAACAUGCUCUCCCAAACUCCCCCAUACUUUGGUUUAAAAAAAUGUUCUUGCCUAAAGAAGGAAUAUUUAAAGCUAAACGAGAACAUAUUAAAAAGGAACAACAACAAAACUAUUCAAGCAAAUAAGUAGAUUUGGAAAUGAAUUUUGGCCGCAUAAUUCGAGAAUUAUGGCAAAGAUAAUGAAAAGGUUAAGAGGAAGUCUGCUGAUUAUCAAGAAGUCCGACCAUCAUAUUUAUUGUUUUAUGCCAUUUUGGCACAAGCCUCCUUUUUUACCCCAGACAAAAACAUUCUGUGUUCGCUCAAGCAUGAACGAAACAAAAUUAUUUUAAUGGCAUUUAAAGGAUAAGACUCCAGAGCACGUAUUGACACCAAAAUAUAGAGAUCAUAAUUUGAAACAAAAAAUUUAUAGAUUUUUCAAAUCUGUCUCGUUUUUUUUUUAUAUGCACUGUAUUUUGAUGAUGUGUGGAAUCUUAAAAGACUAUGAUUAGUAACAUUUUACAAACUGUUAUGGUUUACUUUCGUAAACUAUUAAAAUUGGAUACCCUUUUCAAUGUCCACAUGUGAUUUUUUAGUCAUGAAGUGAAUUGUUCAUAAUUUAAUUUUCUCAGCAAUUGAAUGCUCCAGUCUUCAUGGUCCAAGUAUUUAUGAUGCAUAAUAUACCUGAGCUAUUAUUUUGAAAAGAUGUAUUUCCCAAUUCAUCACAUUAUCUGCAAUUUUGUCAUAAUUUUUCUUUUUGAAAAUAAUGCUAUUUUGUGACUAAAGCUGUCUGCUCUUUUUACUGAUAGUAUCGAUAUCAAGGUAUUCUAGUUAGGAACCCUUUUGUGAAACAGGUUUAGUAAGAUUGCUCAGUGGUUGAUGGAUAAAGAUAUGACUAACUUGUCAAGGUGUUGAGAAAUGGGCCCCAGCUUUGUUCGCAGCGGUGCUAACCAUUAGUUGAAUUGCCAAAUAUGCUUUGACAUUGUCAGUAAGAUAAUGAUUGGUAUCACUUUUUAUUUCAUCCUGAAUAAACUGUUAAAAAUGCUUUCCCCACCAAAAUUCUUGUCUUAUCCCCAAAUCUAUAAAUUGUUUGCUAAUGUUUUGCCCCUUGAUGUAUGAAUAAGAUGGUGCUGUUACUGGUGAAUCCAUUUCAGUUCAAGGCAAACUUACUCUGUUUGGGUUUUUUGUUUGUUUGUUUUUUGCUAAUUAUUGACUAUAUAUGAAAAUGUCUUUUCUUAUACAGGAAACAUUGCAAACUCAACAUCAGGAUAAAUUUUAUUUGCUUUAGUUCAAUCUCUGUAGCCACUAGGAUAUUGUACUGUACAAUCAUAUUCUCACACUGUCAGCUAUUACACAUUCAAUGACAUCCAGGGAUGAUCUUAGUUACCACUUCCUAUCAGCAAUACAAGUAACUCUGCCUAAGUCAAAUCUCUUGGGACCAAAUAAUAAUCAAUAUGUUCGACUUAGGCAAAAUUCAACUGAAAAGAGGUAUGUAACACAUUUUGAAUCUGAUCUAAAAGAUUGCUUUGACUUUAAUAGGCAGAGUUACCUGUAUAUGAUACUUUGCUCAUUAUUGUGACCCUGCUAAAUGAUAGAGACUUUCUAAGUUGCAUGACAUGUAAUAAUUACAUUUUCACUAUUCAAUUCAAUCGGAUUGCAUUUUUCUCUCACCUGUGAACUAGAGUGAGACUAUAGGUACCGUUUUUUCCGACGGUGGCUGCGGCGGCGUCAACACCAAAUCUUAACCGAAGGUUAAGUUUUUGAAAUGACAGCAUAACUUAGGAAGUAUAUGAACCGAGCUCAUGAAAGUUGGCCAUAAGGUUAAUCAAGUAUUACUAUAGAUUCUGCUUUAGUUUCAGGUCACAUGACGGAGGUCAAAGGUCAUUUAUGGUCAAUGAACUUAGACCAUGUUGGGGGAAUCAACACCAAAAUCUUAACCUAAGGUUAAGUUUUUGAAAUGACAGCAUAACUUAGAAAAUAUCUGGACCUAGUUCAUGAAACUUAAACAUAAGGUUAAUCAAGUACUAUUGAACAUCUUGCUCGAGUUUCAUGUCACAUGACCAAGGUCAAAGGUCAUUUAUGGUCAAUGAACUUUAGCCAAAGGUAUCUGUUGAAUUACCAUAACUUUAAAAGUUUAUGAAUCUGAUUCAUUAAACUUGGACAUAAUAGUAAUCAAGUAUCACUGAACAUCCUGUGCGAAUUUAAGGUCACAUGACCAAUGUCAAAGGUCAAUGAACUUUGGCCAAGUUGGGGGUAUCUUUUGAAUUACCAUCAUAACUUUGAAAGUUUAUAGAUCUGAUUCAUGAGACUUGGACAUAAGAGUCAUCAAGUAUCGCUGAACAUCUCAUGCGAGUUUCAGGUCACAUGACGAAAGUCAAAGGUCAUUUUAGGUCAUUGAACUUUGGCCAUUUUAGAGGUAAUUAUUUGAUUGCUGUCAUAACUUUCAAAGUUUAUACAUACAGUGUACAAAAGGUGGAUAUAAGGAUAAUCAAGUAUCACUGACAAGUUUUAGGUCACAUGAUCAAGGUCAAAUAUCAAUGAACGUAGUAUUGUAUCAUUAUAUGAAUGUUUUUUCUUGUGAAUAAUUAUUUUAUAGUAGUUUUCAAAGUCAGCACUGCUGCUAAAUAGAAUCACGUGAUGCAGGUGAAACCGCCAGAGGCAUUCCACUUGUUUGACCCUUUGAAAGCAUGUGUGGUUAUUUGUUGGAAGUACCAAUUUUUCUGUAUGUAACUUACAUUUAAACUUGGAUAUUGUUGAUUACGGUAUUGCUUAACAUUCCAAUAUUUUAACAUUUAUUUUUAUGGAUGUUUUAUCAAAUAUGAGUUUACCCUAUCUUAACUGGGCUAUUUCAGACCAGCGGUCAAUUUGACCCCCCCCCCCUCAAAUCUUGGCCGCGAAAAUUUGCAAGCACGUAGAGCCAGAUUUAAACUACAAGAGUGUAUAGAAACUUUUUCAAAAUUUUUUUUUUUAAUAUCUCUUAUUGAUUAAUCAAAAUAAGCAUAUGAAAUUUGCCAUAAAUUUCUUUUUUGUGUAUGUGUAUGUAUUUGCCUUUAACUCAAGUUAUAUAGCUAGUAGAAUGCUAAUUUUUGGUGGGAGUAUCAAUUAUUACAUUUCUAACAAAUGUCUACAAAAUAUAGUAAAAAUAUAAUGAAUUUCUUAUGUAUUUUAUUGUUUUUAAAUUCUUAUGUAUUUCUUUGUUUUUUUUCAAAGUUGAAACCUUUGUUUUUUAUUGUUUUUCCCAAUGAACUCUGUCGAGAACACUUUUGCGAUCAUAAAAGGCAUAAAAUAAAUCCAUUUAAACCAACAAAACCCUAUGAUUUUUGGUUGAAAAACACAAUUUGCAUUGACUUUUUACACAAAAUCACGUUUUUGAGCAAUUUCUGGUCUGACAUGCACUUACAGAACGUUGCGUAAUUUUGGAACCGCGUGCCUGGGCGUCGCAAAUUUGGUCUCAAAAGAUGCGCAAGUAAAAAGUCAGUGAGAAGCACAGUAAAAAACAAUUGUGCCACGGCGUAGUGACAACAUUUGUUGAGGGGGGGUCAAAUUGACCAUCUCCCCCCAGUUUAAUAAGUGUUAAUAUUGAGUAGGAUGCAGGUGAUUCAUUGAUAGUCAUAAUUUAUUGACCAGCUUUAUUACUUGAAUUAUGAAUGAUGACAAAACAUAGAACACUGAAUCUUAGUGAAAUUGUAUGCUAUUUUGGGGGAAUAAAAGUCAGAUUUUUUCAUUAUGCACUUAAAAAGAGAUUACUAAAAUAUGCUUGUAAAAUUAGGGAUUUAUUUGAAUCUAUAAAAGACAGAUUUUUAUUGUUCUUUUACAGGAUUAGGGAUUGCAAAGAACAUACCUGCUCAAUUAAUACAAUAUUUUCCAUACUAUAUUAUUUGUAUAAAGUAAUCAGUGUAAUUGAUAAUUGAAAGUUUCACAAUUUGAAAGGGCGUGGAAUUGCGAUACAUUAUAAUAGUUCUUACAUAUGCUCCAAAAAACAGAAAUUGGUUUGUAAUUGUGAAAUGAAAUAAAAUAAUUUGGUCAUCCUUCUAUGAUCAGGAAGGGAUGAAAUAUAUUAUUUUGUUUUAGAGAGUAUGCGGGGAUGAAUUCUUUAAUAGUUUGUUAAUUUGCUCUUUGAAUGAUACAUUAUGAUUACAUAUUGUAAGGCAAAUAUUGUCUAAGUUUAGAAUAAGGGGGAACCACAUUCUCUGAUAAGUAAUAGCAUAUUUGUGAAAUGCUAAAUCUACCCAUAGAUAGGAUAUUCAAAAUGGACAUGAUAGAUUGAUUGAAAGUAUAUAUUUUUCUUGUGAGAAAAAACAUUCCUUUCCUUAAU